UUUUUUUUUUUUUUUAAAAUGUUUGUUUCUUUAUAGGGAUGAUGCCACGAUAUUGUUGAUCAUGCUCCUCCACUAUAGAAACAAUUUUGAUUUGAGGUCGGUCUAAAAAAUAGUUUACGUUUUUUGAAAAUGAUUUCAAAGAUUUAAUUUACAUGUAGGCACAUAAAUAUUUACACAUAAAUACACAUAAUUCCUUUUGAAAUUCAUGGGUAGGUGGUACUUCCGGGGACGCGUCGGGUUUAAAAAAAUGGAACUAGACCUCGUAGUUCCUUUGACUUUCCCACUAACGAUAGGUUAGGAGAUAGUGCUUAUAAUUUAUUUUUAAAAUAAAACAAUGUCAUAAUCAAUCCAAAGUUUUAAAGGAAGAUUGAAUAAUGACUUUUUUUAAAAAAUUAUGUUGCAAGGUUUUGAUAUGAAAUAUUUUUAAAAGCCAAGUAAUUUGCUAAAUGCAUGAAAUGAUUCUAAUUUAGUAUUAUUAAAAAAAACAUAUUGCAUCAUGAAUGCGGAAGACAAAUAGGAUAAUAUUAACUAAUUUUUGGGUAGAGGGCACAAAUAUGCACAAACAAAUUUUAUUUUUAUAGAAAUGUUAAAAGUUCUUUACAAGCCUAUAGACAUGAAUUUCUAGGUGUUCAAAAAUAAGACAUAUAUGCAUGAUUUUUGUAAAUCUAAAUGAUAUGAACAAAUUAAUCUUUAGGCAUGGUUUCUACAUGACAAGACAAUGCUAACGUUAUAACAUUGUUAAAACACCCAAUCAGCCUACUAAAUUAUUAUAAUUUGAUUUUAACAUUAAAAAUUAAUGGAAUCUAGUUUAUUAUUUUGUAGACUUAUUAACAAAGCAUCAAACAAUUGAUUGGAUUAUAACACCUACAAACAAUAAUUCUAGGUGGUUAAAGACAAAUCUAUAGGCAUGAUUUCUAAAAUUUUAUAAUGAACAAGUAAGCAUAUAAAUCCCCCUCCCCUAGACGACCCCCCAAAUAAAUUUAUAUAUAUGAUCUUUAGAGUUACAAUUGUUACAACAUUCGAAUAAAUAAAAUAGGAAAAAUUUAUAUAUACAUUCAAAUAAACAAAUAAAUCUUUCUUCAAUUAAUCUCCAACUUGAACUUCAAGUUUGAAACCUGUCAAAAUAAUCAAAUAACUACACAAGUAAUCACACUUAUUAGUCAAGGUGAGACAAUAUGCAAUCAUUUAAUGACGAAUUAUACAUAUAUAUAUAUAUAUAUAUAUAUAUAUAUAAAAUAAUAGUUUACACAAAUGUGUGAAUGUAAAGAUAGUGUGAAUGUUAAGAACACUAACCAGUUAAGCAAAACAAAUUGAUUCAACUUUUACUUGAACAAAGUAGUAAGAUAGCGAAGAAGAACACUUGAAUAAUUACCGGAUUCUCAAUGUAUUGUUAGAGUAGCAAGAGAGAAGAGAGAGUGAUGAGAGAAUUUGUGAUUGAGAGUGAAUGAGUGUAUGAGUUGAUGAGAGAACUUGUUAUGAAAGAUGAGUGUCUGUGAAUGAAUUGAGUACGAGGGAGUCCUAUUUAUAUAGCAAAAGGAGAAAAAAAAUAUAAAAAAAAUAAGGUAAAUAAAUAUUUUUUAGGAAUCAAGUAAGUAUACUAUUUUCCUUAUUCAAAAGGAGAUUCAAAUCAGCAAAAAUGUAAAAUAUAUCAUUUCCAAAUAUUACAAGUAAGAGUAAUUAGAAAGAUCAAUAUUAUUUGUCCUUAAAUAAAGAAGAAUCAAAAUCAGAUUAUAUUAUUUAUUCAUUUUUUCCAAAUAUAUAAAAAACUAAAUAUGACAAGAAAACAAUUAAAGUUUCAAUGAAUACUAUUUUUCCUUAAAUAAGAGCAUGAAAUCAGGUUUAUAUAAGAAUUAACAAAUUUAAUCAAGUAAGAAAUGAAAUUAGGAAGGGUAAUAUUUUCCUUAAAUAAUGAAGAACCAAAUUAAAUUUUUUUUACUAAAUAAACAAAUAAGUAAUCAAUCCUAUUUUUAAAUAAGGUAAACAAAUAAACUCAAUAAUACAACCAAGUAAAACAAGCAUGGAAAGGAUUAUUUCCAACAAUAAAUUGAUUUAGUUAAACCAAUAGACGAGAUUAUUAAGGAAAGGGAGGAAUUACAUUCAGAUUAUAAUUUGAAAGAAUCAAAUAAAUCACAAAAUUGGUGCGAGAUAUCGAUUCAAAUCCAACAUUACAGUAAUCUUUCCCAAAUUCAAUAACAAAAAUCAAUAAACAUGUCAAAAUCACCCAAAGUAGUAAAAUAAUAGAGGUUGAUAGUCUUAAUUCGUAAAAGCAAAUAAUUGAUUAUUCCCUGAAUGAAGCUUCUAUUAUUGAGCCAAAUUAGUUCAUAUUAUGCAUAAACAUAAGUCUUUCCAGAGCCUUCCAAGAUUAUAUAUCUAGAUUUUCAUAAAAAUAACGAAGGGAUAAACGUGCUGAAAUUACUAGAUAAUUCAGAAGACAUUGAAGAAAAAUUCAAGAUGUAAGUACAUAUAGCUAAGCAAAACAAAUACAAACACAAAUCAGUAUAAUAACUGUACGAAAUAAAAUGAAACCAAUCCAAUCAUGCAAAGCUUGAAUGCUCACGAUAAUUGAAAUCAUGAACAAAGAGUUGGAAUGAAGCACAAAUUAAUUAGAAUGUACCAAUCCACACUUAGCAAACUUGAUGAACCUUAAAAGUUGUUAUCGGAGUUCACUAUUGUUUUGUUGUUUCCGCUGCCAAAAAGCAAAGAAAGGAGCGAAAUCACCUAGUUGUGCACCAUCUUUGUGCAGUUGUUGGUCGGUUUCUCGCGUGUCUACUGCUUAUUGUUACAGGUGUCGGAGCUGCUGGUUACCUGCAGUUGCUGCUGCCUGGAAGCUCGCCUGAGCGUUGCCAGCAAUGGAGAAAAGAAGGCAGGAAAGAAGGGAAGAGAGAAGAGAAAGAAGAGGCGAGGAGAGACAGAAAGAGAGCGGCUCUUGCUGGUUGCUGCAGCUUCUUGCUGGUGUCCUCGCUAGCUUCUAUUGGAGAAUAGAAGCGAAAAAGAAAAGGAAGGAGAAGAGAGGAGAAGGUUGUCAUGGAUGGCCGACUCAUUGCCUCGCCGGAGUUCGCUUGAUGCUCCUCGCCGGACUGCUGUGCGCUGCUGCUGGCGGACCGCUGCUGUCCAUGCCGGUCAAUGCUGUCCGCUGCUGCUUGUGGGCCGCUGCUGUCCAUGCCGGUCACUGCUGUCCGCUGCUGCUGGUGGUCGCUGCUCUCGCCGGAGCGAAUGGAGAAGAGAGAGUGGGUGGCUGGCGGCUGCAAGGAGAGGGGAGGGAGAAGAAUAAUUUUAGGUCUUGAUUUUUAGUGUAUUGAAAUCAAGAAGAAAAGGGAAUUUUAUCACAACCGUUGAUUUAAUAAGAAAUAAAGGGAUAUGAUUCGAUUAAUAAUAGAUGGAUGAGAUUAAGAGAUGAGAUGUAUUGAAAUCAGAUUGGAUUGAAUAUGCAAUGGCUACAAUUGCAAUUAAAAUUGCUAGAAUUGAAAUGAAAGACGGGUUAUGAUUGAGAUAAAAUUUAAUUGGAGUAGCUAGAAUUGAAAGAAAAUAUAAUAGAAUAGGCUAGAAUUUAAAUAGUUUUAAGGAAAGUGUAGGAAUUAUUAUCUAAUAAAUACUACAUAUAUUAAAGAAUUUUUUUAAUUGAAAAAUCAUUUAAAUUUUAAACUUUUGAAAUUCAUUAAUAAUAUUUACGAUAAUUUUAUAAAGUAAAACAUAUUAAAAUAUAUAAUUUCCAAGCAAAAUCGAUUAAAAAUUCUAAACUUUAAAUAAAUUUUAAAAUACUUAUUUAAUCGAAUAUUAUCCCAAAAAUGGUUAAAGGUCGGUCAAAAUUGGGUGUCAACAGCUGCCCCUUGGUUGAUUGAGAAUGAAGAAUGAAUUGUCAGGCAACCAACGUUGACUUAGUAGCCGAUUUUGUCCGACCGACGAGAGAUGUCAGUUGGAUCAAUUAAAACGAUAUGGAUUUUAAAAAGGGCACAACCGAGACUUUGGUUUUAAGUCGCCUACAUAUCUCUGGUUAUACGAGAAUCAGGUCGUGUGUAGUUCUAGAUUCAAGAGCAAAUGAAACUGUUAAAAGUUGAAAGAGCGGUAAGGUAUUCAGAAGGCACGAUAUCGACUUGAAUGGAUAAGAUUAGAGUAGCGAGAAGAGAGAGAUUGAGAGGCUAAAAGAGCAUGACAAAGAAACGAGAAGAGCAUGAUAGAGUGAGAUUAUCAGCUUUUGCAAGGUUUGGAGUAUGAGUAGUAAAGAAUUAAUAGUGUCUUCGUUGUGAUAGCAUGAUAAUUGUAAUCAACGGGCGAUCCAUCAUAUCUGCAAAUUCUAGAUAAAACGUUAGCUUAUAAAUAAUGUAAGACCAAUAAUGAUAAAAUAUGAGUUCUAAAUAGAUGAUAAAAGGUGAUAAGCGCCUAUUUGUUUUGAGACGUAGUGCAAGCCUUGAUAGUUUUUAACUUCUUGAAGGAUUGAAACUCAUCUCUGAAGAAUAACGUCAAACUCCAAAAUAUUUGAUAGUAUAAACAUAUAAUAAUAUAAGUAAAAUGUCUGGUUGUAAGGAGAGUCUAAACGUCAUUUUAAAGCGGACGAGCCUAAACAUCAUAUUUUAAGACGGAAAAGCCUAAACAUCUUAUUCUAAGGCGGAAGAGCCUAAAUAUCGUAUUGUAAGGCAGACGAGCCUAAACAUCGUAUUGUAAGGCAGAUGAGCCUAAAUAUCCUAUUGUAAGGCGGAAGAGCCUAAACGUCGUAUUGCAAGGCAGACGAGCUUAAACAUCGUAUUAUAAGGCAGAUGAGCCUAAAUAUCCUAUUGUAAGGCGGAAGAGCCUAAACGUCGUAUUGUAAGGCAGACGAGCCUAAAUGUCGUAUUGUAAGGCAGACGAGCCUAAACAUCCUAUUGUAAGGCGAAAGAGCCUAAAUAUCCUAUUAUAUGGCGGAAGAGCCUAAACGUCGUAUUGUAAGGCAGACGAGCCUAAAUGUCGUAUUGUAAGGCAGACGAGCCUAAAUGUCGUAUUGUAAGGCAGACGAGCCUAAACAUCCUAUUGUAAGGCGGAAGAGCCUAAACAUCCUAUUGUAAGGCGAAAGAGCCUAAAUAUCGCAUUUUAAGGCGGAAAAGCCUAAACAUCCUAUUGUAAGGCGGAAAAGCCUAAAUAUCGUAUUAUAAUAAGGCGGGAGAGCUUAAAUAUAUAUUCAGUCAGUCGUAGAAAAAAGUUGAUAAUAGCCUCUUCAAAAAAUAAUCCGAGGAUAGUAUGACUUACAUAGUAGCUCCUAAAUAUGACAAUACGCUCAUAUAUAAUUUAUUCCUGCAUCCAGAGAAAAUUCGUAAAUUCAAAAGGCGAGAGAUGGUCAUACCUGUGCUUGUUUUGCCUUUAGAGUUGCAUUCCCUUGCGAUGAAAUUUUUGAGGAUUUCUCAAAAAUUUCUGCCCCAGUUUAGAGUAUAAGAUAUAUACUCACUUUGUUAAAUAUGUCUAUGAAAAUUUUUGAGGUUUCCUCAAAAAUUCUGCCCCAGUUUAUUAGUGGGGGAAUUUUUGAUUCUGCUUCACUCAAAGAAAAAUUAUAAGUUCCAAAGAAAGUGAUUGUCUUGUAUUUGGACAUUAAGGCUCGACUUAGAAUUCAAGUGUCAAUUAUGUCCAUGGAUUGUCAAUUAGCCUAGAUUUGAAUUUGUAAAGGAGUGUUUUGAAUGACCAUGGGAGAGAAAGAAAAUUUAUUUGAUAGAACCGGACCCAUCAAGGGUUGCCUACGUAUCCAAAAAGGAAAUCAGGUCAAACGUAGUUCAGAAUUACAAGGAAAAAUGAAAGGAAUGAGGAAGGCUUUGGGCAUAAGGUCUGAGAACAAUAAAGCCAACUUUGUUCAUAAGAGUCUUGUCCAUAUCAUUUUCUCUGAUGUGAUUUACGCUUCCUUGUCAAGUUCCUAACGUACAUCUUUGUAGGAUCUCCCUGAACGAUGAAUGUAUUCGCCAUAGAAGGAUUGCAAUUGUUGUUUUGUGGUCCUUGUUGCACUAUAAUUUUUCUUUUUUCAAUCAUAUUCUGAAUCUUAUUUCUCAAUGCUGCACAUUCUUCAGUGUCAUGACCUUGAAUGUUUGAAUAACAGGCACAAUUUUUGGAUAGAUCAAAGUUUGAAGUAGAGUGUUUGGGAAUCCAUCCAUUUAUUGGUCUUAGAAGUCCCUUAGCCCAUAAUCUCUGGAAAAUGUCGGUCAAAGUUUCCUUUAAGGGAGUGAAGACACAAGGUUUCCUCACCUUAUGUUGAGAAACCUGAGGGUUGGAAGGCUCAAGAAUAGCAUGAAUUUGCUCAAUAUUCUGAUUUCUUUGUUUCGGAGGUAUAUAGGUUAAUGCAUCUUCGUUCCUUUCAUCUAAUGAUUCUUUCAGGACUUGAAAAGGAAUUUGUGUAUCAGCAAUUCUUCCAGACUGAAUGCCAUAUUCUAACUCUUUUCGAAUUCGAAUUAGACUGUCGAAACUUUGAAUACCAACGAAGAACAAGGUUUUGUAGUAUAUACCCUCAAGUGAUCUGAUGAGAGUUUGUACCAACUCCUCUUCAUGCGGUAAGUGACGUAUCUUGGAGGCUUCCAUUCUCCAUCGUAUGACAUAUUCCUCAAAAGAUUCAUGACUUAAUUUCUUCAAUUUGAGCAAAUUUAACAUUGUAGGAUCAACCUUCUUAUUAAACUUGUAUUGUUCCACAAAGUCUCGAGCCAUGUCUUCCCAUGCGAGCCAUUUGUCAAAGUCUUGUUUGAUGUACCAAGUGAAGGCUAUUCCUUAUAAGCUUUGAAUAAAUAACCUCAUUAGGAGAGGUUCAUUUUUUUCUAAGCCAACUAGCCUGCUGCAAAAAUCUUUGAGAUGUGCCAUUGGAUCCCCAUGUCCGUCGAACAUGUUGAAUUUUGGAAUUUUAAAUUCUGACGGCAAUUCGACUCCUGGGUGUAGACAUAAAUUUUUAUACCUUAGGUCAUGAGUAGGUAUUGAAUUUAAUCAUCCAUUCACCUUUUUCUCCAAGUCAUGCAUUUUUCGCUGCAAUGCAUCUAGCUUAGACUUCUCUAUUUUGUCACCUAUUCCCUCAUAUCCUACAGCAUCAAAGUUGAGGCGUGUUGGAGACCUUUGUUGAGAGAGGGUGUGAGUAGGAAUAGGAUGAGGAGAGAUGGUCCAAAAGAUACUUUGUUGUGGACGAGAAGAAGGGUGAUUUUUUCGAAGAUUGAACAUAUUUGUCAUAUUGAUGGUUCUUAGUUGAGCCUAAAAUCCAAAUACUAGACAACCAUUAGUCAAAGAAGUAAAUCAAACACAAAAUCGGGUUAAUAUAUAGUAAGCCAAAAUUAUAAUUUCAAAUGAAUAACAUAAUAGCUCAAAGUGGUACAAUUAUAACAGUUAAUAGAAUAAGGUCACAUAAUUGGUUCAAGUCAUAUUUGUCAAUUUAAAGUUUAGAAUCAAAGAAAAUUUAUAUAUACAUUCAAAUAAACAAAUAAAUCAUUCUUCAAUUAAUCUUCAACUUGAACUUCAAGUUUGAAACCUGUCAAAGUAAUCAAAUAACUACACAAGUAAUCACACUUAUUAGUCAAGGUGUGACAAUAUGCAAUCGUUUAAUAACGAAUUAUACAUACAUACAUACAUACACACACACACACACACACACACACACACACACACAUAUAUAUAUAUAUAUAAAAUAAUAGCUUACACAAAUGUGUGAAUGUAAAGAUAGUGUGAAUGUUAAGAACACUAACCAGUUAAGCAAAACAAAUUGAUUCAACUUUUACUUGAACAAAGUAGUAAGAUAGCGAAGAAGAACACUUGAAUAAUUAUUGGAUUCUCAAUGUAUUGUUAGAGUAGCAAGAGAGCAAUGAGAGAAGGGAGAGUAAUGAGAGAAUUUGUGAUUGAGAGUGAAUGAGCGUGUGAGUUGAUGAGAGAACUUGUUAUGAAAGAUGAGUGUCUGUGAAUGAAUUGAGUAUGAGGGAGUCCUAUUUAUAUAGCAAAAGGAGAGAAAAAUAUAAAAAAAAAUAAGGUAAAUAAAUAUUUUUUAGGAAUCAAGUAAGUAUACUAUUUACCUUAUUCAAAAGGAGAUUCAAAUCAGCAAAAAUGUAAAAUAUAUCAUUUCCAAAUAUUACAAGUAAGAGUAAUUAGAAAGAUCAAUAUUAUUUGUCCUUAAAUAAAGAAGAAUCAAAAUCAGAUUAUAUUAUUUAUUCAUUUUUUCCAAAUAUAUGAAAAACUAAAUAUGACAAGAAAAUAAUUAAAGUUUCAAUGAAUACUAUUUUUCCUUAAAUAAGAGCAUGAAAUCAGGUUUAUAUAAAAAUUAACAAAUUUAAUCAAGUAAGAAAUGAAAUUAGGAAGGGUAAUAUUUUCCUUAAAUAAUGAAGAACCAAAUUAAUUUUUUUUUUACUAAAUAAACAAAUAAGUAAUCAAUCCUAUUUUUAAAUAAGGUAAACAAAUAAACUCAAUAAUACAACCAAGUAAAACAAGCAUGAAAAGGAUUAUUUCCAACAAUAAAUUGAUUUAGUUAAACCAAUAGACGAGAUUAUUAAGGAAAGGGAGGAAUUACAUUCAGAUUAUAAUUUGAAACAAUCAAAUAAAUCACAAAAUUGGUGCGAGAUAUCGAUUCAAAUCCAACAUUACAGUAAUCUUGCCCAAAUUCAAUAACAAAAAUCAAUAAACAUGUCAAAAUCACCCAAAGUAGUAAAAUAAUAGAGGUUGAUAGUAUUAAUUCGUAAAAGCAAAUAAUUGAUUAUUCCCUGAGUGAAGCUUCUAUUAUUGAGCCAAAUUAGUUCAUAUUAUGCAUAAACAGAAGUCAUUCCAGAGCCUUCCAAAAUUAUAUAUCUAGAUUUUCAUAGAAAUAACGAAGGGAUAAACGUGCUG
rnacentral:lncRNA from 1 species